GAUAAAAAACAAAAACAAAACAAAAACCUUUAUUGUUUUCAUCUAUCCAUACAUAAGAACAGGUAGAGAAGUCAAGGCAUGUAAAAAUCACAGGUCAAAUGUUUUCAUCAAAACUGUCAGGCACAUGUCAUUUCCACACCACAGUAGCAACUGACAAGAAAAACAUAAUGCACAGCCACUAGUGAUUGCAAGAAGAAAGAUGUGCUGAAAUCCUGUCUUGAGGAGCACUGUGCUCCCUGUAGCUCUUUACUCUUGGACCCUGAAUUGUGUGCAGGAUACCAUGCAACUGCAGAGAUAUCCUAGAAGAAUCAUAUUUGCUUUCCUUUGACGCCACAUCAACUACCAAGGAAGGGUUCAGCCCAAGGGAGAAUUAUACCACCACUCCCAUUCUUCAACAUAUCUUCUGCUUGCACAGUAUGCUCACAGUGUGGGAAUUAAUCAAGGACCAGUCACUCCACCAGUCUGUGGCAGAGAUGUGGCCAGAACCAGAGCUGCGACCUAGCCCCAACACAAGUCUUCAGAGAAGAUGUGCUGCUGCUGCCUAUUGCUACUCUCAUGGAGUGCUGAGUUCUCCAGCCACAAAGCUUGUCUAUCCAGCAUGUCCCUGCCCACAGCCUUCCAAACUGAGAAAUGAAACUUACCUGCAGGAAGAUCUGCUGCAACCUCUCUAUACAGCUCUUGUACCAAGGUGUAAAUACAUCAAUUCCACCAGUCUCACAGCGCACCAAGUGCUCAGUUAACAACAUAAUGAAACGCUGCAGGAGAGGAAAAAGAAUACUUAAGUCUCGUCAAAUGAAAGCAGGAUCCUAACCUCAAGUAAGAGGAUCUGGGGGACAGAAGCUUUGAACAGCAACGUGAGAGCAAUUAUUUUGCUUGGCAAACACUGCAUUUAGUAAGCAAAUAAAACCCAGUUACCUUCUGGUUGUUCAGGAAACUGUAUGCUAGCAGAACUCCUCUGUUCCUCAGCACUUGAAACUGAACAGAUCUUGCUCAGAAGCAGUCUUUGCAAGGGGAUGAUCUGGAUUGACUCUAACCCAUAGUAAACCCAUCAACCCCUUCCCCUAUUCUUAUUCCAAGAAGAUGCCCAAGAUACGAGUGACACUGAAACCUUAUAAAUCCAAUAACUUUAAAACCCGAAGGUGAGAAGAGACUUUGCCCAUCAUUACCUGGAAUAUAACAAGGAAGAGAUUCUUUUGCUCACUCUGGGCUGACUCUACUUUCUCCUGCAAGCGCUCUAUCUGCUCUUCUAGCGGUCCAUCUUCCCGAUCGCUGCUUCGGUCGUCGUCAUCAUCAUCAUCAUCACUGUCUCGCUGUAAGUGACAACACAAGACUAACUAGCAACUUGUGGAUGCUGUUAAUGCCCUCCGGUUCCACAUGUGAAAAGGUCUGCAGAGCAACUGAAAAGCAGCAACUGAAGCUGCUCUGUAGCUUGGGUUUUGCAAGACUCAGCAGUGAGCUACUAAAGACUUUUAUGCGGAUCUUCAGGCUCCCAUUUUGCCAGGGAGAAAACGUGCAGAAAGAAUUCCAGGUCAGGGAAGAAGCUAUCAGAGACACAGCUGCUCUACCAACAUGUAACAGUGCUGAUGGACAGCAGCAGAGAAAGACAGCAAAGGAAACUGGAGAGUUAUGCACCAAGCUGAAGGCCUGGCAGACCAUAAAGAAGCGAGAGUGGAUGAAGAGAGGGGAAGGUAAGCAUGAUUACGAUACAGAGGUUGGCUAUUUAAUGACAUGGGAGAAGGGUCCAACAAGCAUGCAUAGCAAAUAUGGGUACUAGGCGUGAAUGGUGCCAACUCCCCUCCGGUAGCUGCAGCUACCUGCAGCUGAAGACAGGCAGGAGGGAGAGCACUCAUUAGUGGGUGAUGUCUAAAGCAAAUCAGGAAACAUGACUGUGGAUCCCACGGCAAAAAAACUCAGAUCGUUGCUGCUCACUGCUUGUAUAACAGAACACCUGCAGAUAUUACAGAAAAGUUGAAGCUGUCCCCAUUGUAAAGAUCACUUCUUAAUUCUCUGUCUCGCACUCCUUCUCACUCCCUAAAACGCACAAGCGUUUAAGAACCAAUGCUGUCUGUGUCUGCAAAGCUACAAUGAACAUGAGUGGAGUUCCAUCCUGAGUUUCUAUUCAUGGAAGACUACAGCCAGCAGGCUGGCUAUCUUAUCUGUCGUGGGAGUGCACCAAGGGAAGGGAAGCUCUCAGGGCACAAGCGCUGAAUCUCAGAGGUGAGGAUAACAGCAUGAACUGCACUCUUGCUGAAGGCAAGGGAAAGUUAAGUUCUUUCAUGCCACAUCUGUCAAUAAUCACAAGAAAACACACCUUAAGCACUAGGUUACCUCUGUUAAGAAAAACAGGCCUGCCUCUGCAUGUAAGAUGUUUACAAUAACCCCUAACAAUGGUGCAUUAUUUCCAUUUACUGAUAAAUUUAAACCAACUAUUAGAAGGAAAAGCAUACAGUUCUGUUCACCACCACACUUACAGCUCCAAAGGAUGGCAGAUCAUUCUACACACAAAAGAAAUUACAGCCUGCCAAAGCCUAGCAGCAUAUAUCUUACCAUCAUCAUCAUCCUGGUUUGGAUUGGGCACAUCUUUUAAAAUGCUGAAGAUUUCAUCAUUGCUGGCCUUAUUUUUAAUUGCGAUUGUUAAACAGAGUGCCACAGUAUAUCCAGGAAGAGACCCUAAACAAGAGCAAAGAGGUCAAAAUAUGUCGAAGGCAAGUGAGUAUUUUUAACACCAGUUUCUCUCUCAGAGAAACAAGUACACUUCCCAACUACACCUAAAACUAGCUGUUUCUAAUAUCAUUGUCCACAUCACUAUUCCAUAAAACUGCUCAAGACUUUUCCUGGUCUUCACAUUAAAUACAAAACUUCCAGUAGAACCUUUAGAACUGAGGUCAGGUAAUCACUCUCCCGUCUAAAGCUCUACUUCAGCUUUCACGAAUAUCCUAAAAAUACAAUACUUCCUUGUUUUUCCUCACUGUAUCUUUGACGAUGACACUUUCAUGCUUAGGAUUGUCUUUACACUGAGUAGUAAAAGGAAUAGUAGUAAAAGGAAUAAUAAUGUAUCUCUCUAUUUCAAUCUUUAUGUCAUCUGCUGCCUCUGUAUGCUUCAUUAAACCAAGUUCACUGGUAAAAUCUUCUACUGUUUCAUGAAGUUCAAAAAAUAAACUCACAUUAUCACUUUA